AAAAUUAAGAGGAUGCGUCCGCCAAAUUGAAAACAUGAACCCGAGCGGAGCAUCUGAAAAAGACAUUACCAGGUUAACGAAAACAACAAUGCAAGUGAGCGUCCUACGGGAAGGAACAAGGAGAAAAAGAAGAAACAACUGAAUGAAGAAAAUAAGGAAUUUUUAAAAUCCAUCCAGACAGAAAAUGAACAAAUCAAAAAAAUGUUCCAACAUCAUCAAGAUAUACUUGAAAAAAAUUAUGAGGUUCAGUUGUUAAAAGCUCAUACUGAAGCAAAGAAAGUAGAGUUGGCAGAACGACAAGAAGCGAACAGAGAGCGUCGAGAAGA